rnacentral:rRNA from 1 species
ACGGAAGGCAGCAGUGGGGGAUAUUGCACAAUGGGGGAAACCCUGAUGCAGCGACGCCGCGUGAGUGAUGAAGUAUUUCGGUAUGUAAAGCUCUAUCAGCAGGGAAGAAAAUGACGGUACCUGACUAAGAAGCUCCGGCUAAAUACGUGCCAGCAGCCGCGGUAAUACGUAUGGAGCAAGCGUUAUCCGGAUUUACUGGGUGUAAAGGGAGCGUAGACGGCGUGGCAAGUCUGAUGUGAAAGCUAUGGGCUCAACCCAUAAACUGCAUUGGAAACUGUCAUGCUAGAGUAUCGGAGAGGUAAGCGGAAUUCCUAGUGUAGCGGUGAAAUGCGUAGAUAUUAGGAGGAACACCAGUGGCGAAGGCGGCUUACUGGACGAUAACUGACGUUGAGGCUCGAAAGCGUGGGGAGCAAACAGGAUUAGAUACCCUGGUA